UACGUAGGGACCGAGCGUUGUCCGGAUUCAUUGGGCGUAAAGAGCUCGUAGGCGGCUGUUCAAGUCGAACGUGAAAACUCGGAGCUCAACUCCGAGCCUGCGUUCGAUACUGGACGGCUAGAGUCUGGUAGGGGGAUCUGGAAUUCCUGGUGUAGCGGUGGAAUGCGCAGAUAUCAGGAGGAACACCUAUAGCGAAGGCAGCUUGCUGGGACGUUACUGACGCUAAGGCGCGAAAGCGUGGGGAGCGAACAGG
rnacentral:rRNA from 1 species